GAUCAUGGCUCAGGAUGAACGCUAGCUACAGGCUUAACACAUGCAAGUCGAGGGGCAGCAUUAGGUAGCAAUACUGAGAUGGCGACCGGCGCACGGGUGCGUAACGCGUAUCCAACCUUCCCGUUACUCUCGGAUAGCCUUCCGAAAGGGAGAUUAAUACCUGAUGGUGUUCAAAUUCCGCAUGUUAUUUGAACUAAAGAUUUAUCGGUAACGGAUGGGGAUGCGUGACAUUAGGUAGAUGGCGGGGUAACGGCCCACCAUGCCCACGAUGUCUAGGGGUUCUGAGAGGAAGGUCCCCCACACUGGAACUGAGACACGGUCCAGACUCCUACGGGAGGCAGCAGUGAGGAAUAUUGGUCAAUGGCCGGAAGGCUGAACCAGCCAAGUAGCGUGAAGGAUGAAGGUUCUAUGGAUUGUAAACUUCUUUUAUACGGGAAUAAAACCACCUACGUGUAGGUGCUUGUAUGUACCGUAUGAAUAAGCAUCGGCUAACUCCGUG
rnacentral:rRNA from 1 species